rnacentral:misc_RNA from 1 species
GGGGUGUUUAUAUCUUGGAUCAAGUUCGUGCUAUGGAAAAUGAAAUGCUUCUUCGGAUUAAGCAACAGGGUCUUGAUAUCACCCCUCGAAUCCUCAUUGUGACCAGGAUGCUUCCUGAUGCAGUAGGUACCACUUGCGGGCAGCGUCUUGAGAAGGUACUUGGAACCGAGCAUACAAGCAUUCUUCGGGUUCCGUUUAGAACCGAGCAUGGAAUUCUCCGUAAAUGGAUCUCACG